AUUGAACGCUGGCGGCAGGCCUAACACAUGCAAGUCGAGCGGAUGACGGGAGCUUGCUCCUUGAUUCAGCGGCGGACGGGUGAGUAAUGCCUAGGAAUCUGCCUGGUAGUGGGGGACAACGUUUCGAAAGGAACGCUAAUACCGCAUACGUCCUACGGGAGAAAGCAGGGGACCUUCGGGCCUUGCGCUAUCAGAUGAGCCUAGGUCGGAUUAGCUAGUAGGUGAGGUAAUGGCUCACCUAGGCGACGAUCCGUAACUGGUCUGAGAGGAUGAUCAGUCACACUGGAACUGAGACACGGUCCAGACUCCUACGGGAGGCAGCAGUGGGGAAUAUUGGACAAUGGGCGAAAGCCUGAUCCAGCCAUGCCGCGUGUGUGAAGAAGGUCUUCGGAUUGUAAAGCACUUUAAGUUGGGAGGAAGGGCAGUAAGUUAAUACCUUGCUGUUUUGACGUUACCGACAGAAUAAGCACCGGCUAACUCUGUGCCAGCCGCCGCAGUAAUAC
rnacentral:rRNA from 1 species